GGGCCCGCACAAGCGGAGGAGCAUGUGGUUUAAUUCGAUGAUACGCGAGGAACCUUACCUGGGCUCGAACGUAAGAUGACUGUAGGUGAAAGCUUACAUCUCUUCGGAGCAUUUUACGAGGUGCUGCAUGGUUGUCGUCAGCUCGUGCCGUGAGGUGUCGGGUUAAGUCCCAUAACGAGCGCAACCCCUACCUUUAGUUGCCAGCAUGUAAUGAUGGGGACUCUAAAGGAACUGCCUACGCAAGUAGUGAGGAAGGCGGGGAUGACGUCAAAUCAGCACGGCCCUUACGUCCAGGGCUACACACGUGCUACAAUGGCCGAUACAGAGGGCAGCUACCUGGUGACAGGAUGCAAAUCUCCAAAGUCGGUCUCAGUUCGGAUCGGAGUCUGCAACCCGACUCCGUGAAGUUGGAUUCGCUAGUAAUCGCGCAUCAGCCAUGGCGCGGUGAAUACGUUCCCGGGCCUU
rnacentral:rRNA from 1 species